GACACUAGCUCAGCUGGUAGAGCGCAACCUUGCCAAGGUUGAGGUCACGAGUUCGAACCUCGUGUGUC
rnacentral:tRNA from 1 species